rnacentral:lncRNA from 1 species
UUCUAUCAUGAGUCCCGACUGAAUUAGGGUUAAGGUGAACUCGUCAAACCCAACAUCAGUCAUAUGAAUCAAUCGAUCGAUCCGAGUCUGAUGUGAAAUCUCAAUGAAAAACUCUUUUCUAUUAUUUUACUCUUCCAUGUCCAUGGGCUUAAGGACUCAAUCUUUCGAUCAUCAUAGGACUACUCUCAUCUAUCGAGGUUGAUAGAUCCCAUCUUGGUGCGAUCUGGUUCCUACAAUGAAUAUGCUACAACCAACAUAUACCUCAGG